rnacentral:rRNA from 1 species
CGGGGGGGCAAGCGUUGUUCGGAAUUACUGGGCGUAAAGGGCUCGUAGGCGGCCAACUAAGUCGGACGUGAAAUCCCCAGGCUCAACCUGGGAACUGCGUCCGAUACUGGAUGGCUUGAAUCCGGGAGAGGGAUGCAGAAUUCCAGGUGUAGCGGUGAAAUGCGUAGAUAUCUGGAGGAAUACCGGUGGCGAAGGCGGCAUCCUGGACCGGCAUUGACGCUGAGGAGCGAAAGCCAGGGGAGCAAACGGGAUUAGAUACCCCGGUAGUCCUGGCCCUAAACGAUGAAUGCUUGGUGUAACGGGUAUCGAUCCCUGUUGUGCCGAAGCUAACGCAUUAAGCAUUCCGCCUGGGGAGUACGGUCGCAAGGCUGG